AGCUCGACGGGGUCGACGCCGCGGGUGACGAGGAGGUAGUCGCGGAUGCAGAAGGCGUGGCGGCCCUC
rfam:Nocardioides sp. Soil774 contig_1, whole genome shotgun sequence.